rnacentral:lncRNA from 1 species
UGAACUAGGUCGAGACUUGCUCGAGCUUGUUUCAAUCCAUAAAUGAAAAGUUCUCUAACAAAGUCUAGGUUUAAGCUAGACUCGAACUUUUAAAAAAAAAAAUUAAGCUCAAACAAAAUUGAGAGUUACUCGGGUUGGACUCGACGUGAGGAUAAAUCAUGCUCGAUCGUGGUUGAGACAGUCUCGUCUCAACUCCUCAGUCCUUAUGAUAAAUCAUAGUUGGUCGAUGCCAAAACUUACUUGGGCUCAACUACAACCUUUGGAGGGUAGUUAUACUUGAAUGUAGUUGUGACUCGCUCAAUCUAGACUUGGCUCUUAAGAUAAAUUAUGGUAGAUCAAGAUUGAGAUUCACUUGGGCUAGACUUCAUCCUUGGAGGAAAUUAUGAUCGAAGGAGGAUGAGCUGUAGCUGCCAGUAUAUGUGGAUGGUGGGGAGUUGUCGCUGCCACAAUUACAUCUACGAUAAUGUAGCCGUUUUCAUGUGUGGAAAGCGAUUUAAUAUGUAGGACUUUUAAAGCCCAUUUUCUAACAUUUCUUUGUUUAUCAGCAUUUACUCAGUCCUAGCUUUUGUUGCGUGGUAAUCAGAUCUGACAUUGUUGCUUUCUUUUGACUUUGGUUUCUUUCUUCAAAUAUAAAAUGAUCCCUGGCAUACUCUAAUGUGAAACUAUUCCAUCUAGAAGGGUACUACGUCAGGUGAGUUUGAUAUCUUUUAUAUUAUGUUUAGCAUUAAUUUGAUCCCACAUUGUACUAAUUAGCAAACUACAUCAGGUGAGGUUAAUAUAUAAAUAUUAUGUUUUGGCAUUAACUUCUUGUUACAUAGUACUAAUUAGCAAACUCUCUCGAGAUCAAUAUUGAAAAACACGUUCAAAAAAGUCUAUGGAGAUGCAUAUCAGUUGGGGAUAGAAACUUUGCAGCAGGAGCUAUAUUACAAGAGCGGGGGGAGGUUGCUGAAUGUUAUGGG